rnacentral:rRNA from 1 species
CAAUAGCGUAUAUUAAAGUUGUUGCAGUUAAAAAGCUCGUAGUUGGAUUUCUGAUCGAGACAUCAGGUCGGGUCCGAGAGGAUCAUGUACUUUGAUUUUGUUUUGAUCAUCCUUGGGGAGAGCAUUUCUGGCAUUCAGUUGUCGGGAUUGGGAUCCUCAUCGUUUACUGUGAAAAAAUUAGAGUGUUCAAAGCAGGCCUCGGCCUCUGAAUACAUUAGCAUGGAAUAAUAAGAUAGGACUUUGGUGGUCUAUUUUGUUGGUUUGCACGCCAAAGUAAUGAUUAAUAGGGAUAGUUGGGGGUAUUCGUAUUCAAUUGUCAGAGGUGAAAUUCUUGGAUUUAUGGAAGACGAACUACUGCGAAAGCAUUUACCAAGGAUGCUUUCAUUAA